CAAAGCUAAAAAAUUUUUUAUUAUUUAUUUGACAUAAGUGAUACGUUCAUGUUAAGGGGGAAUCUCAUUUUUCGAGUAAAAAAAAUCGAUUUUUUUUACGGAAUCUUUUAGUUUAAUAUCUUAAGAAUAUCUCCAAAAUUUGUAUCGAAAUUCGUAGAACUUCAGAAGUUAUGAGCUCUUAACCGACCGAGUACCUGGCUAAGCGCAUAAGAUUUUUAAUAAUCGAUAGCUGUUCCAGUUUUGUUCUCAGCACAAGAAUCAAGUUAGGGGACAUUUGUGUUAUUUAACAGUGAAAUUUUCAGUAAUCAUUUAGCCUGUGUGAAACUAACGCACGAAAAUAAAGAACAAUGAAUCGCAAACAUUCACAAAACAUGUCUGAACGUGCUAACAGACCAAAAAAAAAAGAAAAAUCACGGAUAAUAUUCACAUUCGGGAAAUGAAUACUUCACUUGCAAGUACAUCAGCAGAAAAAUUAUCAGUAUUCAAGACAAAGAAACGUCAAAAUAUUUUGCAACGCGCGAGAUCAUCGCUUUGAAAAAUCAACGCGACGGAGCCUUCUACGAAAAAGAUUCGAAUAAAACGAAGAACAGAUGGCUUAAAAUCAAUUUUAUGAAAAUAAGGAUAGAUUAUUAUAUGCCCCUGGGAUAGCAGAGUAACAGAUAUAUGAUAUGAAUACCUGGAAAAAUAUCGUGUACACCAAUGGACGACGAAGGCGUUUGCGUGACGUGAUAUUCGAUUAUUAAUAUCUUUUACAUUUAUUAUUAAAAUUUAAUAUAAAAAAAU